rnacentral:rRNA from 1 species
AGUGAACGCUGGCGGUAGGCCUAACACAUGCAAGUCGAACGGCAGCACAGGAGAGCUUGCUCUCUGGGUGGCGAGUGGCGGACGGGUGAGGAAUACAUCGGAAUCUACCUUUUCGUGGGGGAUAACGUAGGGAAACUUACGCUAAUACCGCAUACGACCUACGGGUGAAAGUGGGGGACCGCAAGGCCUCACGCGAUUAGAUGAGCCGAUGUCCGAUUAGCUAGUUGGAGGGGUAAUGGCCCACCAAGGCGACGAUCGGUAGCUGGUCUGAGAGGAUGAUCAGCCACACUGGAACUGAGACACGGUCCAGACUCCUACGGGAGGCAGCAGUGGGGAAUAUUGGACAAUGGGCGCAAGCCUGAUCCAGCCAUACCGCGCGGGUGAAGAAGGCCUUCGGGUUGUAAAGCCCUUUUGUUGGGAAAGAAAUCCUGUCGAUUAAUACUCGGUGGGGAUGACGGUACCCAAAGAAUAAGCACCGGCUAACUUCGUGCCAGCAGCCGCCGUAACAC